UACGUAGGGGGCAAGCGUUGUCCGGAUUUAUUGGGCGUAAAGAGCGUGUAGGCGGCCAGGUAGGUCGGUUGUGAAAACUGGAGGCUCAACCUCCAGACGUCGACCGAAACCAUCUGGCUAGAGUCCGGAAGAGGAGAGUGGAAUUCCGUGGUGUAGCGGUGAAAUGCGCAGAUAUCAGGAAGAACACCCGUGGCGAAAGCGGCUCUCUGGGACGGUACUGACGCUGAGACGCGAAAGCGUGGGGAGCGAACAGG
rnacentral:rRNA from 1 species